GGGUGAUAGCCCCGUACGCGAAAGGAUCUUUGAAGUGAAAUCGAGUAGGACGGAGCACGAGAAACUUUGUCUGAACAUGGGGGGACCAUCCUCCAAGGCUAAAUACUACUGACUGACCGAUAGUGAACCAGUACCGUGAGGGAAAGGCGAAAAGAACCCCGGAGAGGGGAGUGAAAUAGAACCUGAAACCGUAUGCGUACAAGCAGUGGGAGCCUACUUGUUAGGUGACUGCGUACCUUUUGUAUAAUGGGUCAGCGACUUAUAUUCAGUGGCGAGCUUAACCGUAUAGGGUAGGCGUAGCGAAAGCGAGUCUUAAUAGGGCGUUUAGUCGCUGGGUAUAGACCCGAAACCGGGCGAUCUAUCCAUGAGCAGGUUGAAGGUUAGGUAACACUGACUGGAGGACCGAACCCACUCCCGUUGAAAAGGUAGGGGAUGACUUGUGGAUCGGAGUGAAAGGCUAAUCAAGCUCGGAGAUAGCUGGUUCUCCUCGAAAGCUAUUUAGGUAGCGCCUCAUGUAUCACUCUGGGGGGUAGAGCACUGUUUCGGCUAGGGGGUCAUCCCGACUUACCAAACCGAUGCAAACUCCGAAUACCCAGAAGUGCCGAGCAUGGGAGACACACGGCGGGUGCUAACGUCCGUCGUGAAAAGGGAAACAACCCAGACCGCCAGCUAAGGUCCCAAAGUUGUGGUUAAGUGGUAAACGAUGUGGGAAGGCUUAGACAGCUAGGAGGUUGGCUUAGAAGCAGCCAUCCUUUAAAGAAAGCGUAAUAGCUCACUAGUCGAGUCGGCCUGCGCGGAAGAUGUAACGGGGCUCAAACCACAC
rnacentral:rRNA from 1 species